AUCGCAACAUUUCAAUUCCACGGGUCAAAACUUAAAAACACGCGGAUCUAUUCGGGUCAAAUUAGUUAAACGGGUCAGAAUGAUUUUCUCCCAAUUCACUCUGCAUCCAUCUCCUCUCUUCGCGACUGCCCUUUUCUCUGCAGAUUCGCCUCCUCCGUCUCCGUUCAAACGGUUCAUCAGGGAAAUAAAGUGUCCUGGAGCUUCAAUGGAUCAUGUUAGGAAUUUGUCUUGGAGCUUAAAUGGAUCAUUGAUUAUGGAUCAUUGGUUUCUUGCCGCCAUAGAUUGAAGCCAAAAUUGUUUGUUUCAGAAACUAAAAGUUGAUAACCUUUUUUUUAGUAAUUAUAGUUGGAGGAAAUUUGCUUGUCUACAUAGUUGAAAACAUGUCGUGUUUUGUAUUUCUGCAUAGAUAUAUACAGAAUUUAGUGUUGAUCA